CUUUGGGUGUGACUGCGUACCUUUUGUAUAAUGGGUCAGCGACUUAUAUUCUGUAGCAAGGUUAACCGAAUAGGGGAGCCGGAGGGAAACCGAGUCUUAACCGGGCGUUAAGUUGCAGGGUAUAGACCCGAAACCCGGUGAUCUAGCCAUGGGCAGGUUGAAGGUUGGGUAACACUAACUGGAGGACCGAACCGACUAAUGUUGAAAAAUUAGCGGAUGACCUGUGGCUGGGGGUGAAAGGCCAAUCAAACCGGGAGAUAGCUGGUUCUCCCCGAAAGCUAUUUAGGUAGCGCCUCGUGAAUUCAUCUCCGGGGGUAGAGCACUGUUUCGGCUAGGGGGCCAUCCCGGCUUACCAACCCGAUGCAAACUGCGAAUACCGGAGAAUGUUAUCACGGGAGACACACGGCGGGUGCUAACGUCCGUCGUGAAGAGGGAAACAACCCAGACCGCCAGCUAAGGUCCCAAAGUCAUGGUUAAGUGGGAAACGAUGUGGGAAGGCCCAGACAGCCAGGAUGUUGGCUUAGAAGCAGCCAUCAUUUAAAGAAAGCGUAAUAGCUCACUGGUCGAGUCGGCCUGCGCGGAAGAUGUAACGGGGCUAAACCAUGCACCGAAGCUGCGGCAGCGACGCUUAUGCGUUGUUGGGUAGGGGAGCGUUCUGUAAGCCUGCGAAGGUGGCCUGUGAGGGUUGCUGGAGGUAUCAGAAGUGCGAAUGCUGACAUAAGUAACGAUAAAGCGGGUGAAAAGCCCGCUCGCCGGAAGACCAAGGGUUCCUGUCCAACGUUAAUCGGGGCAGGGUGAGUCGACCCCUAAGGCGAGGCCGAAAGGCGUAGUCGAUGGGAAACGGGUUAAUAUUCCCGUACUUGGUGUUACUGCGAAGGGGGGACGGAGAAGGCUAUGUUGGCCGGGCGACGGUUGUCCCGGUUUAAGCGUGUAGGUGUGUGUUCCAGGUAAAUCCGGUUCACUUUAACACUGAGGCGUGACGACGAGGCACUACGGUGCUGAAGCAACAAAUGCCCUGCUUCCAGGAAAAGCCUCUAAGCAUCAGGUAACAUCAAAUCGUACCCCAAACCGACACAGGUGGUCAGGUAGAGAAUACCAAGGCGCUUGAGAGAACUCGGGUGAAGGAACUAGGCAAAAUGGUGCCGUAACUUCGGGAGAAGGCACGCUGACACGUAGGUGAAGUGAUUUACUCAUGGAGCUGAAGUCAGUCGAAGAUACCAGCUGGCUGCAACUGUUUAUUAAAAACACAGCACUGUGCAAACACGAAAGUGGACGUAUACGGUGUGACGCCUGCCCGGUGCCGGAAGGUUAAUUGAUGGGGUCAGCGCAAGCGAAGCUCCUGAUCGAAGCCCCGGUAAACGGCGGCCGUAACUAUAACGGUCCUAAGGUAGCGAAAUUCCUUGUCGGGUAAGUUCCGACCUGCACGAAUGGCGUAAUGAUGGCCAGGCUGUCUCCACCCGAGACUCAGUGAAAUUGAACUCGCUGUGAAGAUGCAGUGUACCCGCGGCAAGACGGAAAGACCCCGUGAACCUUUACUAUAGCUUGACACUGAACAUUGAGCCUUGAUGUGUAGGAUAGGUGGGAGGCUUUGAAGUGUGGACGCCAGUCUGCAUGGAGCCGACCUUGAAAUACCACCCUUUAAUGUUUGAUGUUCUAACGUGGACCCGUUACCCGGGUUGCGGACAGUGUCUGGUGGGUAGUUUGACUGGGGCGGUCUCCUCCUAAAGAGUAACGGAGGAGCACGAAGGUUGGCUAAUCCUGGUCGGACAUCAGGAGGUUAGUGCAAUGGCAUAAGCCAGCUUGACUGCGAGCGUGACGGCGCGAGCAGGUGCGAAAGCAGGUCAUAGUGAUCCGGUGGUUCUGAAUGGAAGGGCCAUCGCUCAACGGAUAAAAGGUACUCCGGGGAUAACAGGCUGAUACCGCCCAAGAGUUCAUAUCGACGGCGGUGUUUGGCACCUCGAUGUCGGCUCAUCACAUCCUGGGGCUGAAGUAGGUCCCAAGGGUAUGGCUGUUCGCCAUUUAAAGUGGUACGCGAGCUGGGUUUAGAACGUCGUGAGACAGUUCGGUCCCUAUCUGCCGUGGGCGCUGGAGAACUGAGGGGGGCUGCUCCUAGUACGAGAGGACCGGAGUGGACGCAUCACUGGUGUUCGGGUUGUCAUGCCAAUGGCACUGCCCGGUAGCUAAAUGCGGAAGAGAUAAGUGCUGAAAGCAUCUAAGCACGAAACUUGCCCCGAG
rnacentral:rRNA from 1 species